UUCCUAGUUUUACUGGUGAGGAUCUGCCUUAUGUAUUGCUACACCUAGAUGUAUUUUUAACUUUCCUGUGGUAACUAUAGCAUGCGUACAGAUGGAUUUACUGAAGGAUGGAUAAAACAUACUACGAAUUACACAGACUGUGCAUAGGGAUACUGGGAAUGUGACUGGCUGUAAAAGUACCUAGCUCUUGCAGUCACUCACAUUUUUUCAACUGAGACAAUAUUAGAUAGUUGGGUUUCUUUUUUGCCUUUUUUCUCUUCCUUUGUUUGCCUAUAUGCUGUAAAAGACAGGUUGAAAUCAGGACUCACAUAGCAGAGCUAUUCACAAAGUGGGUUGCUUCUGAGGCCAGACCAGUCCCAUCUGUAAAGGACAAAGGCUGCUCACAGCAUGGUUGUUCAGAGCCAUUCAAGGAUGGAAAACACAAGGAAUCAUAGAGGACACAACGUUCUGUCUGCACAUUUCUACCUCUGAAUUCCCAGCGAGGCUUCACCUAGAAGCACUAAGACACCACAUACACUUAUGCAGAGUCACCUGAGCUGUUGUCCCACGUGGUUUUCCUGGAGUGCAUGUUCUUCACACCAGGAAUUUGUAGUUCUCCUACAGUGCACACCCCACAGAUACAAACGCAAGGAUCUUUUGAAGAGCAGCAGUCAUGAGUAAGUAACUAUGUAUU